GACUUGACAUCUCCUGAAUUACUCUUAAUCGAGGAAGUCCCUUCGGGGACAGGAAGACAGGUGGUGCAUGGUUGUCGUCAGCUCGUGUCGUGAGAUGUUGGGUUAAGUCCCGCAACGAGCGCAACCCUUAUUGUUAGUUGCUACUAUUAAGUUAAGCACUCUAACGAGACUGCCGCGGUUAACGUGGAGGAAGGUGGGGAUGACGUCAAAUCAUCAUGCCCCUUAUGUCUAGGGCUACACACGUGCUACAAUGGCUGGUACAACGAGCAGCAAACCCGCGAGGGGGAGCAAAACUUGAAAGCCAGUCCCAGUUCGGAUUGUAGGCUGAAACUCGCCUACAUGAAGUUGGAGUUGCUAGUAAUCGCGAAUCAGCAUGUCGCGGUGAAUACGUUCCCGGGUCUUGUACACACCGCCCGUCACACCAUGAGAGCCGGUAACACCCGAAGCCCGUGAGGUAACCGUAAGGAGCCAGCGGUCGAAGGUGGGAUUGGUGAUUGGGGUGAAGUCGUAACAAGGUAGCCGUAGGAGAACCUGCUGCUGGAUCACCUCCUUUCUAGGGA
rnacentral:rRNA from 1 species